rnacentral:lncRNA from 1 species
CCCAUAGAAUCCUUAAAUUUGAGAUUUUCUGACUGAUAAAUGUAUGGCACUUAUAGUAUCAUCUAAACUAAGGGACUGAUUUUCAUGAGAACGUAUAUUUCAUUGGAUACACUUAAACAGAUAGGCAUUGUUUUUAUAGAAAUUUGAUUCUAUGAUUUGUUGAAAUUUAUAAUUAACUUAAUGGAACUGUUUGAUUUUAUUAAACAGGAGACCUCAGUAUAGGAGUCUUGAAGUGACACAUGGAGUUUUAUGAUUAGUAUAGUUUAAAACUGAGUAUAAAAUUACUUGCCUUAAUUAGCUGUAAAACAUGUCUUCU